GCUCAGGCUAACACAUAUCCUCGGUAAAGGAACUCGGCAAAUUACUUGCGUAUCUUAGGUAGAAGCAAGCCCAUAAACAGAAACACAGAAUCUGUUUACGGGGGCACAAACUAUAGGUGGGGGACUGUUUAUCAAAAACACAGGGCUUUGCAACGUAGAAAUACUCAGUAUAAGGCCUGACGCCUGCCCAGUGCCGGAAGAUAAGAAUUCAUUGUUCACGCAGUGAAUCUGAAGGACCGGUGAACGGCAGCCCUAACUCUAAGGGUUCUAAGGUAUCUUUUUCGUUGCCUUAUUAAAACAAAGCCAUAUGCUGGAAACUUCUAUAUGUUAUUUCUACUAUUUAGUCCAGUUUAUAAAUAUAACUGUUAAUAGUAAAAAUGAAAUAACAAGAACAAUCAGCAGGAAAGACUAUUCCUUUACUAAUAGUUUCCCCAGAGACUAGACGCUUUGCUUUGUUUAAUUUACUCAUAGAGUCUAACAUCAUAAAUGAUGCGUUCAUUAAACAUUGAAGAUAUAGUCCUUAUCUAUUCAUCUUUUUUUAUUUAUACUUAAUAAAAAUGGAUAGAUAGAGCGAAAUUCCUUGUCGAAUAAUUGUCGACCCGCAUGAAUGGCGUCACCAUCCACCUACUGUCUCUACCGAGGUGUGGGCGAAUUUGACAUUCUCGUGAAGAGGCGAGAGUACUGCCACGGGACAAUGAGACCCUGUGCACCUUUACUCUAAGCUAAAACUGCUUUUUGAAAACACCUUUUUCAGCAUAGGUGGGAGCUCUCUUUUGGAAAGGGUGCGUCAAUGAGAUACCACCAUUGGUUUAUUCAAAAGCUUUUCUAUUCUCUCUAUGUUUUUAUUAGAGAAAAUAAAAAUCUUUUAGCUUGGGAGUUUGUCUGGGGCGGAAGCCUCCAAAAAAAUAUCGGGGGCGUGCCAAGGUAUGGUCUAACUGUUUUUGCGGUUUUAGAGUCUGACAACCCAGAAACCAUGCCUGACUGUUAGGCAUACAAGCCAAGCAGGGUGCAGAACAGAAUGCACGCUUGAAAAAUGGAUUUUUAUUCUGGUUUUUCAAGUGACGAAAGUCUGCGGUAGUGAACCAGCACUUUGAAGUGGAAAAAGUGUUGAUCAACGGAUCAAAGGUACGCCAGGGAUAACAGGUUAAUCAGUCCUUAGAGUCCCUAUCGACGGACUGGUUUGACACCUCGAUGUCGGCUCAUCGCGUCCUCUAGCUGAAGAAGGUUAGAAGGGUUAGACUGUUCGUCUAUUAAAGCGGUACGUGAGCUGGGUUCAGUGCGUGGUGACACAGCACGGCUCUUCUCUGUGGCAGUUUUUUAGACAGUUACAUUGGCUUUUUAGUACGAAAGGACCUGAAAGUCCACACCUCUGGUUUAUCAGUUGUGUUUUCAAUACGCAUUGCUGAGCAGCUAAGUGUGCAAACAGUAUGGCUGAAAGCAUCUUAAGCCAGAAAGUUGUGUAAAACCAUGUCUCUUUUUUGGUAGUAGACUACUACCUCUAGAUCGGUACAUUGUAAAAAAACGAGAGUUU
rnacentral:rRNA from 1 species